ACAUAAAUACAUAAAUAAUAAAUAAAGGUUAAUAUAUUUAGUAUAGAUCCUUUACAGUAGUUUUAAAUUAGAUAACGUUGUACCCUAAGGCUUCAGGUUUGCCAAUGCAGGGUUUACCUGCUGCCUCUGUGUAUUCAUUAUUCUGCACCCAGUGCGUUACUAUUGUGUCUCCUCGUUCCAUGCAGGGACUGCGGGACAUCUCCACUGUGUUUGUGUGCAUCAGUGAUUCCUGUCAGGCUGCUUUUACUCUGACCGGCCCCGGCAGUGGAACCCGGGUCAUCACAGACUUGUGCUGUGCUUCAGAUAAGACCUGCACCACACACACAUCAUGAGCCUGGUUGCUGUUUCACAGCAGGAUUUGUUGUGUUUGCUGAUUGCUGCUUAAAAUGGCUGCGCCCCAAGUGUUGACCCUAAUUAUUUAGCAGCACAAGCCCAUGUUUCUAAAUGUUUACAUGGAAAUGGUACAUUUGUCAAAAGUAUUGUCAGUAUCCAUAAAGACCAAGCUUGCGUAAAAUAAUAUUAGUGAGUGAAUAUUAGCACCUUUACAUUACGAAAGGCUUAAGAGAUUAUCAUAAAAACCUGUUAAAAAACAAAUAUACAGUAUGCUACAAAGGCUUCAGCUGCACUCAGAUUACGGGGUAUAAAUUAAUUCUGACUCACAUUAAUUAAACACAAGUUAAGACUGUUCACAUUCAACACAACACAUUCAAUAAAAAAAAAGGUUCAGUACCCAUUAACCCCUCACUGAUGUUCACCGUGGUGAGUCUGAACCUAUACUGAUCCUGACAGAAAGUAAUGACCACCUGCUUAAGCUCUAAUGAUCCAUGUUCAGGCUGAUCAAAAAGAACAUCAUCUUACUUUUUCAUGCCAAGUUACCCUGAGCUGUGACGACCGAAGGAACUGUAGCAGUGGGAAAGUAGAUUAUUUAGAUAGAGAACAUCAAAUCUGGGGUACACAAAGACUUCAACCUUUUUAUUUUACAUACAAAAUGUGACAACAAAAUAAAAGUUUGGGUUUUGUGAAGGGGUUUAAUAGGAGACUCUUCCACCUUCUACAGUAAAUAACACAGGCUGAGGCCAAGGGCAGCGAUAUGCAAGACCAUCAUGGUCAACACUCCAAAAAUUAUUCUUGCUAAUAAAACAUAUUUAUAAUUUUUAAGUAUUAUAUAAAUGAAAAAUAGGAUUUUAAAUGAUUGUUUUUUUAAAUAAACAUAAUGCAAAUAUGCUCAAACAUUUAAUGUAUGCAAAAACACCAAAUAACCUUUACCUGAAAUCUGAAAUGAAUGAAUGAAUGGACCAAAAGUUUGGUCAGUAUACACUCUAAAAAGUAAUCAUGACUAAAACCUAAAUUUUAUGUAAUUUAAUUAAAGUUAAUUUUGCAUGUUACCUAUGUCAUCAGUUAAGGGUUAUGUGAAAUAUCUACUAAAAGAUGAGAUAAUAUCUACUCAUAUUAGACAUCCAUGAGGAGGCUCAACUGAGCUUGAGCUGCAAACCCGGUGCUUCACAGGCCAAUUUAUACCAACUGAGCCACCAGAGCAGUACUUUUAUAACUAUUGAUUUUUAAAGCACAAACUCCUUCAAAAAAGUACAAAUUGUAUAAUUUUACAUUAUGUUUAUAUAUUAUAUAUCAGGGUUCAUCGAUAACCAAUCAACUAAUACUAAUAGUUAUAUUUAUUUAUGUUUAGUUAUAAUUGAUAAAGUUAUAUCCAAAUUUGUGGAUUGGUGGCUCAGCGGGUAUACAGUAGUAUUGGACUGGGAAACAGAAGGUUGCUAGUUCAAGUUGAUUCCACCAGGUCCUUGAGUAAGUCACUUCACUGAGUAUGUCCAGUAAGGUAAAGGUGAGAUGUAGAGAAGGAUGUCUGAUAUCUGAAGUUCAUUUCUUUGUCACCUGACAGCUGACAUACCCUAUUUAUUGAUGGAAUCAUAAAUAAUCUGUGGGCUUUGAUUCUUGUAAUGUGAGCAUGUUGAUUUUGUGGUAUAAGCUGCCACAAUCAUAAAAUAAAAUCUACUACUACUACUACUACUACUACUACUACUACUACUACUACUACUACUACUACUACUACUACUACUACUAAUAAUAAUAAUAAUAAUAAUUAAAAAAAUGUCACAUUUUGGAAACAAUAAAUGCACCAGGUAAACAUUUUAGGAAACUUAUUGCUACUUUUUGCUUUAAAAGUCUCACUAAUUGUCAAAAUAAGUUUUACUUUCAAUCUCUACCAGCCGUCAUGUAAAAGGCAGCUCAGGCUGUUCUCGUUCAUCGUUCACAGCUCAGGCUCUGUGGCGAGCAGCAAGCACUCCAGUUCUUUUGUGAUUCAUUCAUACGGACCUCUAUGGAUCGUUCGUUUGUUCAUUUGUCAUGUGACAAUCAGGCCACGCAGGCUCUGUGGCGAGCAGCAAGCAUUCGUAAAUCGUUCCUACGGAUCAUUCGUUUGUUUGUUCAUUUAUCAUGUGACCGCUACCAAAUGACUGUUGCGCUGUUAAACAACAAUGGUUGGGAAGAUGCAGGACAUAAGUCACGUUAAUUUGGUGUGUAUUUCACAUGGUUUGAAUUGCUUGUGGCAUUUUGUGAUUAUAUUUUGUCUGCUGAAGCAAACCAUGGUAUCUUGAGUGUAUACUGUUUGAGAACCGCAAUCUCUCCAUCUCUACCCAGGUGGAAUCACGUGAUAUAAGGCUAGCCGUUAGCCCAUCGUUAUCCCUUUGCACUUCAGAGCUAACAGCUGGGUGAUCGCUACAAUAGGAAAUUGCAGAUGAAUGCGGUUAUGUCUGUUAUUACCCCAUCCUGUGUUACAGCCUAAAUCGAGUUGUAAUUCGGGGUUAUGCCAUUGUUCUAUCAAAUUCUAACAUGUAUGGUAACUGUCGUGUUGAAAGUAGUGAUAGGCAGAUGAAGCUUUAUGAAGCAUUGAAGCCUUUCAUCCAGUAGGUUCAAUCCAGUGCAAAGCUUCUUGAAGCUUCAUUUGCUCUAGUAGGAGAUCUACUGGACGCAACAAUAUCAGUUGGCAUUUGAAGCAUUUGGCACAUGCAGAGAGCCAGUGAAUUAAACUGUCAGCAAAAUAAAGAAGUAUGCAAAACAUGUAUAUUGUAUGUUUUACUGUAUACAUACAUACUGGCAUUACAUAAAAUGAUUAUUUGGAAAUGAUUAUUUACAAUGAGGUGAGGGUAUGCACAAUGAUUGUGCUUUUGUUAUGGCCAGUGAUUAUGGUUUAGGAGACACAUCAUUGUUUUUUUUAUUUAAAAACAUCAGUUUCUCUACUGUGGCAGAUUUAUUUUUUGACAUUAUUUCUUCUGCUUUGGAAUACAGCUGCUCACAGGGUUUUGCCACUGCUAACGUACAUAAAUGGGGAUAGACAUAUUUCUGUCUCUUGCAGUGUUGGAGCCCGUGGGAAAAUCCGAACCGCUUCCUAAAUCAGUCACGUGGUACAGCCGGGCCGCGAGGAGUUGUGCGUCAUCAAUUUCAGCCCCGCCCCUAAAUGAAGCGAGCCUCGGGGGGCACAUCCCUGUUACCCACAGGCAAGGAGGUUGUCAAACAGAGAAAUCACUGGAGACUUGGUACUCAGACUUCUGCUGUUUAGAUCAGGAGUGAAGUACCUUUUUGUUUUGAUGAGGUGAUAGUGAGGACAGCCGCAGCCUCCAUCUGGUAGACCCCUGGUCAUCUGUCUACAACUACAGUAUACCUGUCCUGCUGCAGAAACAAAUCUGCAACAUAAUCAAGUUUACCCCCUACCCAGGACAUGGUCUGUUUACCCUACUUCCAUCAAGCAUUUCAUCUGCAACGCCCUGCAAAAGCUUCUGUCCUCAAACCUCCAGACUUCUUAAUUAACUCAGUAACCUAUACAUUGCACAUUGGAGUGUGAAGAUAACAGUUUGUUCCAGCUUUGGAGUAGUGGUGCAUUUUUUGGUUAACAAUAAUGUCUGCUUUAACUGUUACAUCAUUCACUGAACUCUGUUUUUCUGAGGGGAAAACACUUUUAUUCAGGAAAUCAUAGUAUUGAAAUUACAUGUUUUUCUCUUUCUAAUAUGGUAAGCUAUAAAGGUGAACUGGCCAUAAGAAUGUGUAAAUAUAAAUUAAAAAUUCAAUUGUUUAAAAAGAUUCUUAAUGAGUAUUGAACACACAAAAAACACAUUUCUACUCAAAUGGUAAAGGAGUUAUUCCACAGGUGGUCUACAUCCAUCAUACAGUGAUCAUCAUUUAGUGUUUUAUCCAUCAGGAAACUCUGCCUUCAUCUACAUCCCAAGCAUGAAGAGAUGGCAACUCAUUCUUCACCCCAGGAAUCCCCAGGACGAGAUUACUAGCCUCUGUAGACUAGAUACCUGUAACAACUUCAGAGACAUAUUACUGUCAGAUUUAUCAAGAAUGAUCAAAAAACAUUAAUAAAAAACAUAACUAGAAACAUGUCA